GUCAAUGUGGAGGCUAUAUACAGGGGGUACCGGUACAGAGUCAAUGUGGAGGCUAUAUACAGGGGUUACCGGUACAGAGUCAAUGUGGAGGCUAUAUACAGGGGGUACCGGUACAGAGUCAAUGUGGAGGCUAUAUACAGGGUAUUACGGUACAGAGUCAAUGUGGAGGCUAUAUACAGGGUAUUACGGUACAGAGUCAAUGUGGAGGCUAUAUACAGGGGGUACCGGUACAGAGUCAAUGUGGAGGCUAUAUACAGGGGGUACCGGUACAGAGUCAAUGUGGAGGCUAUAUACAGGGGGGUACCGGUACAGAGUCAAUGUGGAGGCUAUAUACAGGGGGGUACCGGUACAGAGUCAAUGUGGAGGCUAUAUACAGGGGGUACCGGUACAGAGUCAAUGUGGAGGCUAUAUACAGG
rnacentral:lncRNA from 1 species